GUGGGGAAUCUUGCGCAAUGGGCGAAAGCCUGACGCAGCCAUCCCGCGUGAAUGAUGAAGGUCUUAGGAUUGUAAAAUUCUUUCACCGGGGACGAUAAUGACGGUACCCGGAGAAGAAGCCCCGGCUAACUUCGUGCCAGCAGCCGCGGUAAUACGAAGGGGGCUAGCGUUGCUCGGAAUUACUGGGCGUAAAGGGCGCGGAGGCGGACAGUUGAGUCAGAGGUGAAAGCCCAGGGCUCAACCUUGGAAUUGCCUUUGAUACUGGCUGUCUUGAGUACGGGAGAGGUGAGUGGAACUCCGAGUGUAGAGGUGAAAUUCGUAGAUAUUCGGAAGAACACCAGUGGCGAAGGCGACUCACUGGCCCGUUACUGACGCUGAGGCGCGAAAGCGUGGGGAGCAAACAGGAUUAGAUACCCCAGUAGUCC
rnacentral:rRNA from 1 species